rnacentral:rRNA from 1 species
UACAGAGGUCUCAAGCGUUGUUCGGAUUCAUUGGGCGUAAAGGGUGCGUAGGCGGCGCGGUAAGUCGGGUGUGAAAUCUCGGAGCUUAACUCCGAAACUGCAUUCGAUACUGCCGUGCUUGAGGACUGGAGAGGAGACUGGAAUUUACGGUGUAGCUGGUGAAAUGCGUAGAUAUCGUAAGGAAGACCAGUGGCGAAGGCGGGGUCUCUGGACAGUUCCUGACGCUGAGGCACGAAGGUCAGGGGAGCAAACGGG